GGGGGGGGGGGGGGGGGGGGGGGGGGGGGGGGGGGGGGGGGGGGGGGCGGUGGGGGGGGGGUGUUGGGGGUGGCGGGUGGCGGCCGGUGGAGGAGUACGUGGGACUCUACUUUUUCGUGGGGGGUAGCGGCGGGCGCGUUACGCUCAUACCGCAUACGCCCUGGGGUUGACAGCAGCAUAUCUUCGGACAAUGCACGAUUGGCUUCCCCGAUGUCGGAUUAGCUAGUUGGAGGUGUAAAGGCCCACCAAGGCGACGAUGCGUAGCUGGUCUGAGAGGAUGAUCAGCCACACUGGAAAGGAGACACGGUCCAGACUCCUACGGGAGGCAGCAGUGGGGAAUAUUGGACAAUGGGCGCAAGCCUGAUCCAGCCAUACCGCGUGGGUGAAGAAGGCCUUCGGGUUGUAAAGCCCUUUUGUUGGGAAAGAAAAGCAGCAGGUUAAGACCCCGCUGUUCUGACGGUACCCAAAGAAUAAGCACCGGCUAACGUCGUG
rnacentral:rRNA from 1 species